rnacentral:rRNA from 1 species
GCUUUGCUAAUGUUGCGUCAAGGCACCAGAUCCCAUCUUAUCUUGGAAGCUAAGCAGGGCCAGCCCUUGUUAGUACUUGGAUGGGAGACCACCAAUGAAUACAAGGUAUUGUAAGCU